UUAACAAAUAAUAUUAUGGGACAUGUACGUUUUUGAAAUAUUCUAUGAGUUGAUACGUUUGUUGUAUCUUGUAUGUUGUUUAAGGUUUGUUGUUGAUGAAUGUUGUUUUUAAUAUUUGUUUAAAAUAUGAGUUUACUAUAUCUUAUGUGAUUUGAAUGUUUUUUCAAUUUCUACCGAAUAUAUAACUUUUUAUACUGCAUUAGAAAAUUACAAUAUGAUAGAUAAAGUUAUAUUAGAAAAUAAGUAUACGUUCAAUUCUUGACAAUAAUUCUCCGUCCCGUUAUCUGCAUUUCGUUCUUUAACCAUUAUAACUUUAUUUAAUACUUGUAGUCCUUCCAUCGACUCUUU
rnacentral:lncRNA from 1 species